CAAAAAGGGUCCCGAAAGGCAAUUUUCACUCUAAGGCAGCCAAGAAAGAACUACAAGAUUUGGAACAUAAUUUUGGAUUUCUUCUUUCAAGAAUUUAUUCAAUCUUACGAGGUAGGAUUACGAUGUGCAAGUGGUUCGUCUCGUUUAAAUUAUUUAUUCAUGUUGAUAAAUGUUAUACUCAUGAAAGUUAUGAUAUGAUUAUGAUAUUUUGAAAUAGCAACCCGGUACCAAAGAGAUGAUAUGAUACGACAUGAGCUCUUACCGGUUCUGAAGAUAUGAUAUGACGAUUAGAACGGGUCGUUGGUUGGCGAGCGGUGCGGUGGAAUUGUGAUGCCAGAAAUUAUGGAA
rnacentral:lncRNA from 1 species